CAACCCUUGACAUGUCCAGUAUGGGUUUCAGAGAUGAGACCCUUCAGUUCGGCUGGCUGGAACACAGGUACUGCAUGGCUGUCGUCAGCUCGUGUCGUGAGAUGUUGGGUUAAGUCCCGCAACGAGCGCAACCCUCGCCCUUAGUUGCCAUCAUUUAGUUGGGCACUCUAGGGGGACUGCCGGUGAUAAGCCGCGAGGAAGGUGGGGAUGACGUCAAGUCCUCAUGGCCCUUACGGGUUGGGCUACACACGUGCUACAAUGGCGGUGACAAUGGGAUGCAAAGGGGUAACCCUGUGCAAAUCUCAAAAAGCCGUCUCAGUUCGGACUGGGGUCUGCAACUCGACCCCACGAAGUCGGAAUCGCUAGUAAUCGUGGAUCAGCAUGCCACGGUGAAUA
rnacentral:rRNA from 1 species